rnacentral:rRNA from 1 species
AGCGAACGCUGGCGGCAGGCCUAACACAUGCAAGUCGAACGAAGUCUUCGGACUUAGUGGCGGACGGGUGAGUAACACGUGGGAACGUGCCUUUAGGUUCGGAAUAACUCAGGGACACUUGUGCUAAUACCGAAUGUGCCCUUCGGGGGAAAGAUUUAUCGCCUUUAGAGCGGCCCGCGUCUGAUUAGCUAGUUGGUGAGGUAAAGGCUCACCAAGGCGACGAUCAGUAGCUGGUCUGAGAGGAUGAUCAGCCACAUUGGGACUGAGACACGGCCGAAACUCUUACGGGAGGCAGCAGUGGGGAAUCGAGCGCAAUGGGCGAAAGCCUGACGCAGCCAGGCCGCGUGAAUGAUGAAGGUCUUAGGAUUGUAAAAUUCUUUCACCGAGGACGAUAAUGACGGUACCCGGAGAAGAAGCCCCGGCUAACUUCGUG